ACACAUGCAAGUCGAACGAGAAUCUACUGAAAGAGUUUUCGGACAAUGGAAGUAGAGGAAAGUGGCGGACGGGUGAGUAACGCGUGAGGAACCUGCCUUGAAGAGGGGGACAACAGUUGGAAACGACUGCUAAUACCGCAUGAAGCAUAGGGGUCGCAUGAUUCUUAUGCCAAAGAUUUAUCGCUUCAAGAUGGCCUCGCGUCUGAUUAGCUAGUUGGCGGGGUAACGGCCCACCAAGGCGACGAUCAGUAGCCGGACUGAGAGGUUGAACGGCCACAUUGGGACUGAGAUACGGCCCAGACUCCUACGGGAGGCAGCAGUGGGGAAUAUUGGGCAAUGGGCGCAAGCCUGACCCAGCAACGCCGCGUGAAGGAAGAAGGCUUUCGGGUUGUAAACUUCUUUUAAGAGGGAAGAGCAGAAGACGGUACCUCUAGAAUAAGCCACGGCUAACUACGUGCCAGCAGCCGCGGUAAUACGUAGGUGGCAAGCGUUGUCCGGAUUUACUGGGUGUAAAGGGCGUGCAGCCGGGUCUGCAAGUCAGAUGUGAAAUCCAUGGGCUCAACCCAUGAACUGCAUUUGAAACUGUAGAUCUUGAGUGUCGGAGGGGCAAUCGGAAUUCCUAGUGUAGCGGUGAAAUGCGUAGAUAUUAGGAGGAACACCAGUGGCGAAGGCGGAUUGCUGGACGAUAACUGACGGUGAGGCGCGAAAGUGUGGGGAGCAAACAGGAUUAGAUACCCUGGUAGUCCACACUGUAAACGAUGAAUACUAGGUGUGCGGGGACUGACCCCCUGCGUGCCGCAGUAAACACAAUAAGUAUUCCACCUGGGGAGUACGACCGCA
rnacentral:rRNA from 1 species